rnacentral:rRNA from 1 species
UACGUAGGGGGCGAGCGUUGUCCGGAUUUAUUGGGCGUAAAGAGCUCGUAGGCGGCUUGGCAAGUCGGGUGUGAAACCUCCAGGCUCAACCUGGAGACGCCACUCGAUACUGCUAUGGCUAGAGUCCGGUAGGGGACCACGGAAUUCCUGGUGUAGCGGUGAAAUGCGCAGAUAUCAGGAGGAACACCAGUGGCGAAGGCGCCGCUCUGGGCCGUAACUGACGCUGAGAAGCGAAAGCGUGGGGAGCAAACAGG